rnacentral:tRNA from 1 species
AGGGAAAUAGCUCAGUGGUAGAGUGUGUGCUUAGCAUGCAUGAGGUCUUGGGUUCAAUUCCCAGUACCUCUA